UCAAAAUAUGUCCGGGUCAGCAGGAGGCACUCUGUAGCUUUACUCACAGAUUUGCCUGAAGAAGAGAAAAGUCCCCUCUGGCUUUCCGUAUCUUACGAAAGCGAAGGUUAGUUAGCUUGGGUGCUAACUUCACAUGUCUGUGUACUGACAUUCAGGACAACUGCGACUACCUGCCAUUCUUAUCGCUUUCAAUACAAAAAGGAUCCUCAACAUGGUGACUGGGAAGCGGCUGGCCGACCUCGGCUAUAGGACGUUUUCUGCCUCGAUGAUGCUGCUGACGAUGUAUGGAGGCUAUCUGUGUGCAAUGCGAGGGUACCGCUUCAUGCAGAAGCAGAAGCAGCUAAAGCUGGCAGCAGAAAACCAGGAGGAACUCAAAGAGUGACAUGAUUCUUGUUUUGCACAGAUGUGGACAUUUCCCAUUCCUCCCUUUUCUUUUGGUCCGUCGCUAAAUCAUGAAGAUGUUAAAUCUUCUCAGGACAUUAAAGUGAUUUUUUUGUGCCGUCACAAGCAAGAUGAUGUUUAUAAAAAUGUCAUCAAGCAAAUUAUCCAAGAAUAUAUUGCUUAAAGUCUUCUGUAAAAUCCAUGUUGAGUGUUUCAGAAAAGACGAUGGCUAAAAUUGUUUGUAUUGUAAUAUAUUAAAUGCUUUAACCACACAAA